GCUAAAGAUAUAAGAGCCCUUCUGAUUACCUCCUCCCUUCCUAGUUGGGGGAAGAAAUGAGGCUAACUAGGAUAAGCUUCUCUCCUUUUGGCUGGGAGGAGGAGACAAGAUCAUCUUCAUUCUUGAGUAUGAGAAAAGAAGGCUGCUGAUUUGAGGUGAAAUCAACAGCCCCUCCUGUUUCAUUCAUGAACAUACAAGGAUCACCCCAUGCUGCAGCGUCAUAUCUGCUACACAAUGACUGGCACCAUUUUUCAUUUCUCUGCAAUCUUCUCAAAGCCUCUGUUGGCCCCAUUGUGUGAGGACAAGCUAUGGGAAAUCUGCCUGACAGUUACAAGUAUCAGGGAAGGCCUCGUGCUACAUAAUGAAUCACUGUUGUUGAAUGAAAUAGGACAAAACAGCUAUUAUUUCCUG
rnacentral:lncRNA from 1 species